CUUCCUGUCUGAUGAACAGGCCAUGAGGACACUCAGCGAGAUCCAGGAGACACUCAGAGGUCUCGCUCCGUGUGUCCGUCCUGCAGAAGUCAGCUCAGAUCAGGCCAUCAGGAACAUUCUGGAUCAGAGUCGCCUGGAGAUGCUGGAUGAAGAGUUGCGAUCGGUGCACAGCAGCAGCAGUAGCGACGCAUCAGAAAACGCCAUCAGAAUCAUCCUGCAGG